rnacentral:rRNA from 1 species
CAAUAGCGUAUAUUAAAGUUGUUGCAGUUAAAAAGCUCGUAGUUGGAUUUGUGGCGUACGGUGUGUUCCGGGCACUUGUUGUCUGAGUAACCUGCUGUUGCCAUCCUUGGGUGGAACCUGUGUGGCAUUAGGUUGUCGUGCAGGGGAUGCCCAUCAUUUACUGUGAAAAAAUUAGGGUGUUCAAAGCAGGCUUAUGCCGUUGAAUAUAUUAGCAUGGAAUAAUGAGAUAGGACUUUUUUGCUAUUUUGUUGGUUUGCGCAAGAAGGUAAUGAUUAAUAGGGACAGUUGGGGGUAUUCGUAUUCCAUUGUCAGAGGUGAAAUUCUUGGAUUUUUGGAAGACGAACUACUGCGAAAGCAUUUACCAAGGAUGUUUUCAUUAA